rfam:HIV-1 isolate 99KE_KER2003 from Kenya, partial genome.
UUUUUUAGGGAAAAUUUGGCCUUCCUCCAAGGGGAGGCCGGGGAACUUUCUU